UGUUCUAACCCUACAUUUUAGCGAACAAUAACAAAUAAUGCUACUGCUAACAUUCUUGCAGCCUAGAAGUAAUAAACUACUCCAAAAUUGCAGGUUCCAACUGUUGAUUUUGGUGCCCCAAUAUUGUUAGAAAAUAAGGCGACGGAAAAACUAUAUUAGAUAUUAUAGAUUAUUGAUUAUCGCAAAAUAAUCCAACAUUUGCCAACAUCUCAGUAUACAGAGUAUUAUUCAGAAGAAAUUAUCGCUUACAAUGGGUUUCGGACUAAACAUAGCAUCAAAUGAAGUGACUCUUGACAACAACAUGAUGUAUUUAUUGUAAUGAAGUUAUUUGUGAACAAUAAAAUCUUUC